rnacentral:rRNA from 1 species
ACGGAAGGCAGCAGUGGGGAAUAUUGCACAAUGGGGGAAACCCUGAUGCAGCGACGCCGCGUGAGUGAAGAAGUAUUUCGGUAUGUAAAGCUCUAUCAGCAGGGAAGAUAAUGACGGUACCUGACUAAGAAGCCCCGGCUAACUACGUGCCAGCAGCCGCGGUAAUACGUAGGGGGCAAGUGUUAUCCGGAUUUACUGGGUGUAAAGGGAGUGUAGGUGGUUUGGCAAGCCAGAUGUGAAAGCCCGGGGCUCAACCCCGCGGACUGCAUUUGGAACUGUUAGACUUGAGUGCAGGAGAGGAAAGUGGAAUUCCUAGUGUAGCGGUGAAAUGCGUAGAUAUUAGGAGGAACAUCAGUGGCGAAGGCGGCUUACUGGGCUUUAUCUGACGCUGAGGCUCGAAAGCGUGGGGAGCAAACAGGAUUAGAUACCCUGGUA